AGGUUUAAGGUUUUUGGCGUUAGGGUUAAAAUCACUGUCCAAAACCUUUGUAGGAACUCUUUUCCAACCUUUUGGAGUUAGUUACACCAAAAAAAAUAUUGUAAAAUGAAAAAGAAAUAUUUGGGGUUUUCGGGCUUUCUGAAGGUAAUACCCUGGUAUAAGGUUAUGGGACUAAUGUAAGGUUUAAGGUUUUUGGCGUUAGGGUUAAAAUCACUGUCAAAACCUUUGUAGGAACUCUUUUCCAACCUUUUGGAGUUAGUUAGACCAAAAAAAGAAAAAAAAAAGGAACAAGAAAUAUUUCGGGUGUUCGGGCUUCCUGCAGGUAAUACCCAGGUAUUAGGUCAUGGGGCUAGGGUAAGGUUAAAGGUUUUUGGCGUUAGGGUUAAAAUCACUGUCCAAAACCUUUGUAGGAACUCUUUUCCAACCUUUUGGAGUUAGUUACACCAAAAAAAAAAAUGAAAAAAAAAUAUUUGGGGUGUUCGGUCUUCCUGAAGGUUAUACCCGGGUAUUAGGUUAUGGGGCUAGGGUAAGGUUUUUGGCGUUAGGGUUAAAAUCACUGUCCAAAACCUUUGUAGGAACUCUUUUCCAACCUUUUGGAGUUAGUUAGACCAGAAAAAAAUGAAAAAUGAAAAAAAAAAUAUUUGGGGUUUUCGGUCUUUCUGAAGGUAACACCCGGGUAUUAGGUUUUGGGGCUAGGGUAAGGUUUAAGGUUUUUGGCGUUAGGGUUAAAAUCACUGUCCAAAACCUUUGUAGGAACUCCUUUCCAACCUUUUGGAGUUAGUUAAACCAAAAAAAAAUUGAAAUAUGAAAAAGAAAUAUUUGGGGUGUUCGGGCUUCCUGCAGGUAAUACCCAGGUAUUAGGUUAUGGGGCUUUGGUAAGGUUUAAGGUUUUUGGCAUUAUGGUUAAAAUCACUGUCCAAAACCUUUGUAGGAACUCUUUUCCAACCUUUUGGAGUUAGUUAGACCUAAAAAAAAACGAAAAAUGAAAAAAAAAUAUUUGGGGUGUUCGGGCUUCCUGAAGGUAAUACCCGGGUAUUAGGUUAUGGGGCUAGGGUAAGGUUUAAGGAUUUUGGCGUUAGGGUUAAAAUCACUGUCCAAAACCUUUGUAGGAACUCUUUUCCAACGUUUUGGAGUUAGUUAGACCAAAAAAAAAUGAAAAAUGAAAAAAAAAUAUUUGGGGUUUUCGGGCUUCCUGAAGGUAAUACCCGGGUAUUAGGUUAUGGGGCUACGGUAAGGUUUAAGGUUUUUGGCGUUAGAGUUAAAAUCAGUGUCCAAAACCUUUUUAGGAACUCUUUUCCAACCUUUUGGAGUUAGUUACACCAAAAAAAAAAGAAAAAUGAAAAAAAGAUAUUUUAGGUUUUCGGGCUUCCUGAAGGUAAUACCCGGGCCUUAGGUUAUGGGGCUAGGGAAAGGUUUAAGGUUUUUGGCGAUAGGGUUAAAAUCACUGUCCAAAACCUUUGUAGGAACUCUUUUCCAACCUUUUGGAGAUAGUUAGACCAAAAAAAAUGUAAAAAGAAAAAAAAAUAUUUGGGGUGUUCAGGCUUCCUGAAGGUAAUACCCGGGUAAUAGGUUAUGGGGCUAGGGUAAGGUUUAGGGUUUUUGGCGUUAGGGUUAAAAUCACUGUCCAAAACCUUUGAAGGAACUCUUUUCCAACGUUUUGGAGUUAAAUAGACCCAAAAGAAAUGAAAAAUGAAAAAAAAAUAUUUGGGUUUUUCGGGUUUCCUGAAGGUAAUACCCUGGUAUAAGGUUUUGGGACUAAUGUAAGGUUUAAGGUUUUUGGCGUUAGGGUUAAAAUCACUGUCCAAAACCUUUGUAGGAACUCUUUUCCAACCUUUUGGAGUUAGUUAGACCAGAAAAAAAUGAAAAAUGAAAAAAAAAUGUUUGGGGUGUUCGGGCUUCCUGAAGGUAAUACCCGGGUAUUAGGUUAUGGGGCUUGGGUAAGGUUUAAGGUUUUUGGCGUUAGGGUUAAAAUCACUGUCCAAAACCUUUGUAACACUCUUUUCCAACCUUUUGGAGUUAUUUAGACCAAAAAUAAACGAAAAAUGAAAAAAAAAAUAUUUGGGGUGUUCGGGCUUCCUGAAGGUAAUACCCGGGUAUUAGGUUAUGGGGCUAGGGUAAGGUUUAAGGUUUUUGGCGUUAGGGUUAAAAUCACUGUCCAAAACCUUUGUAGGAACUCUUUUCCAACCUUUUGGAGUUAGUUAGACCGGAAAAAAAAUGAAAAAUGAAAAAAAAAUAUUUGGGGUGUUCGGGCUUCCUGAAGGUAAUACCCGGGUAUUAGGUUAUGGGGCUAGGGUAAGGUUUAAGGUUUUUGGCGUUAGGGUUAAAAUCACUGUCCAAAACCUUUGUAGGAACUCUUUUCCAACCUUUUGGAGUUAGUUAGACCAAAAAAAAAAACGAAAAAUGAAAAAAAAAUAUUUGGGGUGUUCAGUCUUCCUGAAGGUAAUACCCGGGUAUUAGGUUAUGGGGCUUUGGUAAGGUUUAAGGUUUUUGGCAUUAUGGUUAAAAUCACUGUCCAAAACCUUUGUAGGAACUCUUUUCCAACCUUUUGGAGUUAGUUACACCAAAAAAAAAAUUGUAAAAUGAAAAAAAAAUAUUUGGGGUUUUCGGGCUUUCUGAAGGUAAUACCCGGGUAUUAGGUUUUGGGGCUAGGGUAAGGUUUAAGGUUUUUGGCGUUAGGGUUAAAAUCACUGUCCAAAACCUUUGUAGGAACUCCUUUCCAACCUUUUGGAGUUAGUUAAACCAAAAAAAAAAUUAAAAUAUGAAAAAGAAAUAUUUGGGGUGUUCGGGCUUCCUGCAGGUAAUACCCAGGUAUUAGGUUAUGGGGCUUUGGUAAGGUUUAAGGUUUUUGGCAUUAUGGUUAAAAUCACUGUCCAAAACCUUUGUAGGAACUCUUUUCCAACGUUUUGGAGUUAGUUAGACCCAAAAGAAAUGAAAAAUGAAAAAAAAAUAUUUGGGGUUUUCGGGCUUUCUGAAGGUAAUACCCGGGUAUUAGGUUUUGGGGCUAGGGUAAGGUUUAAGGUUUUUGGCGUUAGGGUUAAAAUCACUGUCCAAAACCUUUGUAGGAACUCCUUUCCAACCUUUUGGAGUUAGUUAAACCAAAAAAAAAAUUGAAAUAUGAAAAAGAAAUAUUUGGGGUGUUCGGGCUUCCUGCAGGUAAUACCCAGGUAUUAGGUUAUGGGGCUUUGGUAAGGUUUAAGGUUUUUGGCAUUAUGGUUAAAAUCACUGUCCAAAACCUUUGUAGGAACUCUUUUCCAACCUUUUGGAGUUAGUUAGACCUAAAAAAAACGAAAAAUGAAAAAAAAAUAUUUGGGGUGUUCGGGCUUCCUGAAGGUAAUACCCGGGUAUUAGGUUAUGGGGCUAGGGUAAGGUUUAAGGAUUUUGGCGUUAGGGUUAAAAUCACUGUCCAAAACCUUUGUAGGAACUCUUUUCCAACGUUUUGGAGUUAGUUAGACCGGAAAGAAAUGAAAAAUGAAAAAAAAAUAUUUGGGGUUUUCGGGCUUUCUGAAGGUAAUACCCGGGUAUUAGGUUACGGGGCUAGGGUAAGGUUUAAGGUUUUUGGCGUUAGGGUUAAAAUCACUGUCCAAAACCUUUGUAGGAACUCUUUUCCAACCUUUUGGAGUUAGUUAGACCAAAAUAAAACAAAAAAUGAAAAAAAAAUAUUUGGGGUGUUCAGUCUUCCUGAAGGUAAUACCCGGGUAUUAGGUUAUGGGGCUAGGGUAAGGUUUUUGGCGUUAGGGUUAAAAUCACUGUCCAAAACCUUUGUAGGAACUCUUUUCCAACCUUUUGGAGUUAGUUACACCAAAAAAAAAAUUGUAAAAUGAAAAAGAAAUAUUUGGGGUGUUUGGGCUUCCUGAAGGUAAUACCUGGGUAUUAGGUUAUGGGGCUAGUGAAAGGUUUCAGGUUUUUGGCGUAAGGGUUAAAAUCACUGUCCAAAACCUUUGUAGGAACUCUUUUCCAACCUUUUAGAGUUAGUUAGACCAGAAAAAAAAUGAAAAAUGAAAAAAAAAAUAUUUGGGGUUUUCGGGCUUUCUGAAGGAAACACCCGGGUAUUAGGUUUUGGGGCUAGGGUAAGGUUUAAGUUUUUUGGUGUUAGGGUUAAAAUCACUGUCCAAAACCUUUGUAGGAACUUCUUUCCAACCUUUUGGAGUUAGUUAAACCAAAAAAAAAUUGUAAAAUGAAAAAGAAAUAUUUGGGGUGUUCGGGCUUCCUGAAGGUAAUACCCAGGUAUUAGGUUAUGGGGCUUUGGAAAGGUUUAAGGUUUUUGGCAUUAUGGUUAAAAUCACUGUCCAAAACCUUUGUAGGAACUCUUUUCCAACGUUUUGGAGUUAGUUAGACCCAAAAGAAAUGAAAAAUGAAAAAAAAAUAUUUGGGGUUUUCGGGCUUUCUGAAGGUAAUACCCUGGUAUAAGGUUUUGGGACUAAUGUAAGGUUUAAGGUUUUUGGCGUUAGGGUUAAAAUCACUGUCCAAAACCUUUGUAGGAACUCUUUUCCAACCUUUUGGAGUUAGUUACACCAAAAAAAAUAUUGUAAAAUGAAAAAGAAAUAUUUGGGGUUUUCGGGCUUUCUGAAGGUAAUACCCUGGUAUAAGGUUAUGGGACUAAUGUAAGGUUUAAGGUUUUUGGCGUUAGGGUUAAAAUCACUGUCAAAACCUUUGUAGGAACUCUUUUCCAACCUUUUGGAGUUAGUUAGACCAAAAAAAGAAAAAAAAAAGGAACAAGAAAUAUUUGGGGUGUUCGGGCUUCCUGAAGGUAAUAGCCGGGUAUUAGGUCAUGGGGCUAGGGUAAGGUUAAAGGUUUUUGGCGUUAGGGUUAAAAUCACUGUCCAAAACCUUUGUAGGAACUCUUUUCCAACCUUUUGGAGUUAGUUACACCAAAAAAAAAAACAAAAAAUGAAAAAAAAAUAUUUGGGGUGUUCGGUCUUCCUGAAGGUUAUACCCGGGUAUUAGGUUAUGGGGCUAGGGUAAGGUUUUUGGCGUUAGGGUUAAAAUCACUGUCCAAAACCUUUGUAGGAACUCUUUUCCAACCUUUUGGAGUUAGUUAGACCAGAAAAAAAUGAAAAAUGAAAAAAAAAAUAUUUGGGGUUUUCGGUCUUUCUGAAGGUAACACCCGGGUAUUAGGUUUUGGGGCUAGGGUAAGGUUUAAGGUUUUUGGCGUUAGGGUUAAAAUCACUGUCCAAAACCUUUGUAGGAACUCCUUUCCAACCUUUUGGAGUUAGUUAAACCAAAAAAAAAUUUGAAAUAUGAAAAAGAAAUAUUUGGGGUGUUCGGGCUUCCUGCAGGUAAUACCCAGGUAUUAGGUUAUGGGGCUUUGGUAAGGUUUAAGGUUUUUGGCAUUAUGGUUAAAAUCACUGUCCAAAACCUUUGUAGGAACUCUUUUCCAACCUUUUGGAGUUAGUUAGACCUAAAAAAAACGAAAAAUGAAAAAAAAAUGUUUGGGGUGUUCGGUCUUCCUGAAGGUAAUACCCGGGUAUUAGGUUAUGGGGCUAGGGUAAGGUUUAAGGUUUUUGGCAUUAGGGUUAAAAUCACUGUCCAAAACCUUUGUAGGAACUCUUUUCCAACCUUUUGGAGUUAGUUAGACCAAAAAAAAAGGAAAGGAAAAAGAAAUAUUUGGGGUGUUCGGGCUUCCUGAAGGCAAUACCCAGGUAUUAGGUUAUGGGGCUAGGGUCGGAUUUAAGGUUUUUGGCGUGAGGGUUAUAAUCCCUGUCCAAAACCUUUGUAGGAACUCUUUUCCAACCUUUUGGAGUUAGUUACACCAAAAAAAAAAAAUUGUAAAAUGAAAAAGAAAUAUUUGGGGUGUUCGGGCUUCCUGAAGGUAAUACCCGGGUAUUAGGUUAUGGGGCUAGUGAAAGGUUUAGGGUUUUUGGCGUUAGGGUUAAAAUCACUGUCCAAAACCUCUGUAGGAACUCUUUUCCAACCUUUUGGAGUUAGUUAGACCAGAAAAAAAAAAAGUAAAAUGAAAAAGAAAUAUUUGGGGUGUUCGGUCUUCCUGAAGGUAAUACCCGGGUAUUAGGUUAUGGGGCUAGGGUAAGGUUUUUGGCGUUAGGGUUAAAAUCACUGUCCAAAACCUUUGUAGGAACUCUUUUCCAACCUUUUGGAGUUAGUUACACCAAAAAAAAAAAAAUUGUAAAAUGAAAAAGAAAUAUUUGGGGUGUUCGGGCUUCCUGAAGGUAAUACCUGGGUAUUAGGUUAUGGGGCUAGUGAAAGGUUUAGGGUUUUUGGCGGUAGGGUUAAAAUCACUGUCCAAAACCUUUGUAGGAACUCUUUUCCAACCUUUUGGAGUUAGUUAGACCAGAAAAAAAUGAAAAAUGAAAAAAAAAAUAUUUGGGGUUUUCGGGCUCUCUGAUGGUAAUACCCGGGAAUUAGGUAAUGGGGCUAGGGUAAGGUUUAAAUGUUUUUGGAGUUAGGGUUAAAAUCACUGUCCAAAACCUUUGUAGGAACUCUUUUCCAACCUUUUGGAGUUAGUUAGAUCGAAAAGAAAUCAAAAACAAAAAAACAUAUUUGGGGUGUUCGGGCUUCCUGAAGGUAAUACCCAGGUAUUAGGUUAUGGGGCUAGGGUAAGGUUUAAGGUUUUUAGCGUUAGGGUUAAAACCACUGUCCAAAACCUUUGUAGGAACUCUUUUCCAACCUUUUGGAGUUAGUUAGACCAAAAUAAAACAAAAAAUGAAAAAAAAAAUAUUUGGGGUGUUCGGUCUUCCUGAAGGUAAUACCCGGGUAUUAGGUUAUGGGGCUAGUAAAAGGUUUAGGGUUUUUGGCGUUAGGGUUAAAAUCACUGUCCAAAACCUUUGUAGGAAUUCCUUUCCAACCUUUUGGAGUUAGUUAGACCUAAAAAAAACGAAAAAUGAAAAAAAAAUGUUUGGGGUGUUCGGUCUUCCUGAAGGUAAUACCCGGGUAUUAGGUUAUGGGGCUAGGGUAAGGUUUAAGGUUUUUGGCGUUAGGGUUAAAAUCACUGUCCAAAACCUUUGUAGGAACUCUUUUCCAACCUUUUGGAGUUAGUUAGACCUGAAAAAAAUGAAAAAUGAAAAAAAAAAUAUUUGGGGUUUUCGGGCUCUCUGAUGGUAAUACCCGGGUAUUAGGUAAUGGGGCUAGGGUUAGGUUUAAAUGUUUUUGGAGUUAGGGUUAAAAUCACUGUCCAAAACCUUUGUAGGAACUCUUUUCCAACCUUUUGGAGUUAGUUACACCAAAAAAAAAAAAAUUGUAAAAUGAAAAAGAAAUAUUUGGGGUGUUCGGGCUUCCUGAAGGUAAUACCUGGGUAUUAGGUUAUGGGGCUAGUGAAAGGUUUAGGGUUUUUGGCGGUAGGGUUAAAAUCACUGUCCAAAACCUUUGUAGGAACUCUUUUCCAACCUUUUGGAGUUAGUUAGACCAGAAAAAAACGAAAAAUGAAAAAAAAAAUAUUUGGGGUUUUCGGGCUCUCUGAUGGUAAUACCCGGGAAUUAGGUAAUGGGGCUAGGGUAAGGUUUAAAUGUUUUUGGAGUUAGGGUUAAAAUCACUGUCCAAAACCUUUGUAGGAACUCUUUUCCAACCUUUUGGAGUUAGUUAGAUCGAAAAGAAAUCAAAAACAAAAAAACAUAUUUGGGGUGUUCGGGCUUCCUGAAGGUAAUACCCAGGUAUUAGGUUAUGGGGCUAGGGUAAGGUUUAAGGUUUUUAGCGUUAGGGUUAAAAUCACUGUCCAAAACCUUUGUAGGAACUCUUUUCCAACCUUUUGGAGUUAGUUAGACCAAAAUAAAACAAAAAAUGAAAAAAAAAAUAUUUGGGGUGUUCGGUCUUCCUGAAGGUAAUACCCGGGUAUUAGGUUAUGGGGCUAGUAAAAGGUUUAGGGUUUUUGGCGUUAGGGUUAAAAUCACUGUCCAAAACCUUUGUAGGAACUCCUUUCCAACCUUUUGGAGUUAGUUAGACCUAAAAAAAACGAAAAAUGAAAAAAAAAUGUUUGGGGUGUUCGGUCUUCCUGAAGGUAAUACCCGGGUAUUAGGUUAUGGGGCUAGGGUAAGGUUUAAGGUUUUUGGCGUUAGGGUUAAAAUCACUGUCCAAAACCUUUGUAGGAACUCUUUUCCAACCUUUUGGAGUUAGUUAGACCAGAAAAAAAUGAAAAAUGAAAAAAAAAAUAUUUGGGGUUUUCGGGCUCUCUGAUGGUAAUACCCGGGUAUUAGGUUACGGGGCUAGGGUAAGGUUUAAGGUUUUUGGCGUUAGGGUUAAAAUCCCUGUCCAAAACCUUUGUAGGAACUCUUUUCCAACCUUUUGGAGUUAGUGUGAUGGCUUAUUAUUUUUUAUAUAUAUUGCGCCCUAGUGGUCGUAUUAUGUAUUUUAUUUUGUCAGUAUUAGAGACAGGAAGUCCCAUGUGGGUCACUUCCUCUUGGCUCAGUAUUUUGGUUUGAGCACAUGGUGGCGGCCAUUUUGUAAGCCACACCUUCAGAGGAGCACACGGCAGCAGCCAUCUCGCCAUUCACGCCUUCAAAGUUUGCAAAAGGCAUCGUCUGUAAGUUUUUUAUGUUUUCUAUAAUGUUUUUAGAUGUAUGCAAUUAUGUUUUGCAAAUGUUUGUUAUAUAUUAUUGUAUUUUCUGUUUCCAACAGUUUUACACUUUUCUUGAUUAAACAACGAAAGUCAACCCAACGGCCUGUUCUUUUAAGUUUGAUCAGGAGAGUGUUUAGCUCUCUGUACAGCUAAGUAGACGUUCAAGUGAACCACAUUUAGCCAAGACAGAACAGUAAAAAGACGAACCAUCAACAAGCUGUGAAGAAAUAUCAAUGGCACAUUGCUCAGCUAACGUCUACAACAGCAAGAGUUGCUUCACAUAGAUUGUUCAUAUAGCUGCCUCUCCUACACAACAAUGUCAAGCCCUAGCCCCGAUGCUAUUGACGCUAAGGAUCUGGAGGUUAGGUCAGAAUGUGGUGCAUCGGCUUCAUCGUCUUCAAGCCGCUCGAAUAAGUCUUCAGCCAGUGUUAUUGCUGCUCGAGCUCGUGCCAAGGCAGAAGCGGCACGCACACGAGCAGUCUAUGCAAAACGUCAAAUAAAUAUGCAAGUGGAGAAGGCACGCAUAGAAGCUUCAUUGAAUGCACUUAAGGAAGAGUGCGAAGCCGAGGCUGCCUCAGCAGAGGCUGACGUGUAUGAAGCAGCCUUGGAUUCCACGAACUGUGAUCUAGAAGAUAGAGCCAGUCGUGCUCAGUCAUUGAAGGACUCACUACAGUGCACUGGUGAGUACGUCCAAGCACAUUUAAACCUCUCGAGUCGUGCGAGCUAUGCUUCAGCUCCAAUUGCUAAAGAGAAUGAGGAUUUUCCUGUGCUACAACCCAGUCACCCUUCAGACAUUGAAUAUCGCGACAUGCGGCAGCCAGAACCUCUGGCUCCUCCUGCUCGAGGUCUUCCUGCUCAGACUUCUCCCGCUCGAGCGCCUCCUGCUCGAGCUCCUCCUGCUCAGGCUCUUCCCGCUCGAGCGCCUCCUGCUCAGGCUCCGAGGGUAACCAAUCAGAGAAAAAAUAUCUCUGGUGCUCCAGCCUAUCACACAGCAGAAAAUACUACAAGCCACCAUAAGCAGCGUCACACAGAUUAUGCUAGCUACCGUCCACACCGUUCACAACCAGAGGCUGAAGGUGUAUCUGCAUUAGCUGUAUAUCUGGCUCGCCGAGAUCUCGUCACAGCUGGACUUAAAGUGUUCGAUAACCAGCCUGCUAGUUAUCUGUCUUGGAAAUCUAGCUUUAACAAUGCUAUGGAAGGACUAAACCUCAAACCAAGUGAAGAACUGGACUUGCUCAUCAAGUGGCUUGGUGGGGAGUCACUACACCAUGCCAAGAGGAUAAGAGCAGUUCACGUUAACAAUCCAGCCAUGGGUUUGGACAUGGUUUGGCGGAGGCUGGACAAGACCUAUGGCUCUCCAGAGGUUAUUGAAGCUUCUCUCUUCAAAAGAUUAGAUCUGUUCCCAAAGCUUUCAAACAAAGAUCACCGGAAGUUUCAGGAGCUUGGAGACCUGCUCCUAGAGAUUGAAGCUGCAAAACAAGAGGGUUACUUGCCAGGACUUGGGUUUCUUGAUACAGCAAGGGGAAUAAACCCUGUCGUAGAGAAACUGCCUCUCAACAUCCAAGAACAGUGGAUGAGUGUGGGAUCUCGCUAUAAGAGAGACCAUCUGGUUCCAUACCCCCCUUUCUCAUUCUUCGUAGAUUUCGUCUACAACUAUGCUGAGAUGAGGAAUGAUCCUAGCUUUGCUUUUUCCAGCUCAGCUGCGUCCAAAGGUGAUGGGUGUUCGGACAAACACUGGAAAACCAGACCUCCGAUAUCAGUCACUAAAACUGAAGUAGGAAAACCCUCCACUUUUCACACAUCCGAAGAACCUGUCAUGGAUCCAGACAGACAAUGUCCUCUCCAUAAGAAACCUCAUUCCCUCAAGAAAUGUCGAGGUUUUCGGGAGAAAUCACUCAUAGAGCGGAGACGCUUCUUGUUAGAGAACUCCAUAUGUUUCAAAUGUUGUGCUUCAACAAAGCACCAGGCUAAGGUUUGCAAAGCUGAAACCCGUUGCUCAGAAUGUGACAGUGAACGACACAUCUCAGCACUCCAUCCAGGACCUGCACCUUGGGCAACGAGUUCCGACGGACCUACUGCAGAGCCUGGUGGGGAACCUACUGCAGAGCAUGGUGGGGAGCCUACUGCAUGUGUCACGGACGUAGCUACCACUUCAUGCACAGAGGUUUGUGGCGAGGGUCUACAAGGUAAAUCUUGUUCGAAAAUCUGUCUGGUUAAUGUCUAUCCGAAGGGACACCCUGAUCAAAAGAUCAGGACAUAUGUGAUGCUAGACGACCAAAGCAAUGUGUCACUAGCCAGAUCAGUGUUCUUUGACAUGUUUGGUAUCCAGAGUGAGGCCUCCCCCUACACCCUCAAAACGUGCUCAGGAGUCACAGACACCGCUGGAAGGAGGGCUACUGGAUUCGUGGUGGAGUCAGCUGAUGGGGAGCUUCAUCUUUCAUUACCAACCCUUAUCGAGUGCAACCUUAUUCCCGACAACAGGGACGAAAUCCCUACUCCGGAGGCUGCACAUAGCCACAAGCAUCUCAAACCGAUAGCUGACAAGAUCCCCCCUCUCGACCAUUCGGCUCAGAUACUUUUACUACUUGGCAGAGACAUCAUCCGAGUACAUAAGGUGCGUAGCCAGCGCAAUGGUCAUCAUGAUGAGCCCUAUGCCCAGCUGCUGGAUCUGGGUUGGGUCAUAGUUGGCGACGUCUGCCUUGAUGGGGCCCACCGACCAACUGUCAAUACAUUCAAGACCCAUGUCCUUGAGAAUGGGCGUCCCAGUUACUUCAAGCCUUGUGAGAACAGAAUCGUGUUCAAGGACAAAGUUGGUGGGGGGCAGCCCACAUCUCCUACCACUUUGACCUCCACCCAGCCAGGUUUGGGCCAGCAGAUCUUCAGCCACUCGAAAGAUGAUGAAAAGCUUGCGCCCUCCAUCGAGGAUGAAAUCUUCCUUCAGAUCAUGAACGAGGGAUUCAAGAAGGAUGAUUCCAACAGCUGGGUGGCUCCCCUCCCAUUUCGCUGUCCAAGGCCGUGUUUGCCAAAUAACCGGGAGCAAGCCCUCAGCCGGCUGAUGUCACUCCGCCGCACCUUAAACAGGAAACCGGAGAUGAAGCGUCAUUUUGUGGACUUCAUGGAAGAGAUCUUUAGGAAUGAACAUGCUGAGCCAGCUCCUCCACCAGAGCCUGACAAAGAGUACUGGUACUUACCUACCUUCGGUGUCUACCGCCCCCAGAAACCGGGGAAAAUAAGGAUCGUCUUCGAUUCAAGCGCGCAGUUCAAGGGCAUAUCAUUGAACGAUGUACUCUUGCAGGGCCCAGACCUCAACAACACCUUACUGGGAGUCCUCAUGCGUUUCAGGAUGGAUCCGGUAGCUGUGAUGACGGACAUCCAACAGAUGUUUCACAGCUUCCUAGUGAGAGAGGAUCAUCGGGACCACCUCCGAUUCUUGUGGUUUCGCAACCACCAACUUGAUGAUGAAGUGUUGGAGUAUCGCAUGAGGGUUCAUGUGUUCGGUAAUUGUCCCUCACCGGCUGUGGCCAUUUAUGGUCUGAAGAGGACAGCCAUGGAAGGCGAAGGGGACUAUGGACCAGAAGUGACGACCUUCAUGCACCGACACUUCUACGUCGACGAUGGCCUGAAAUCUUUCCCCAGUGCAGAAGAUGCCAUCAAGGUACUAAAAGGUGCACAGGACAUGUUGGCUCAAUCCAACCUCAAACUACACAAGAUCGCCUCUAAUAGUGUUGAGGUUAUCAGAGCUUUUCCGACUGAGGACCUGGCAAGCAGCCUACAAGACCUGGACAUGGGUCAGGACUCUCCCCCAAUACAGCGCAGUCUGGGUCUCGGAUGGGAUCUUGCCACAGACUCGCUGACUUUCCGAGUUGCUGUUGCUGAAAAACCCUUUACACGUCGAGGUGUGUUGUCUAUCAUCAACAGCUUGUUUGAUCCAUUGGGGUUUGCUGCUCCCGUCAGUGUUCAGGGUCGUGCCAUCUUGAGAGAACUAACUGUCGACACUUGUGAAUGGGAUGCGCCACUCCCUCAGGAGAAGCUCGAGAAGUGGCAGAGGUGGUGUGCCUCUCUUGAAGAUUUAAAAGUGUUGAAGAUCCCAAGAAUCUACACUUCAAUCCCACUCUCCACAGCUCAGAGGAAAGAGAUCUGCAUCUUUUGCGAUGCGUCAAUUAAAGCUAUUGCUGUCGUCGCCUACCUGAAGGCCACAGAUGCUAUGGGACAUAGCGAAGUUGGAUUCCUGUUUGGCAAAACAAAGUUGACUCCUAAGCCUGACAUCACCAUCCCAAGGCUUGAGCUCUGCGCAGCCGUUCUAGCAGUAGAAGUAGCAGAGGCUAUAACUGCAGAGCUGGACAUGGAGGUUGACGACAUCAGGUUUUUCACAGAUAGCAAGGUGGUACUUGGCUAUAUAUUCAACGACUCAAGACGGUUUUAUGUCUAUGUUCAUAACCGAGUGCAACGAAUCAGACGUUCAACCAACAAAGACCAAUGGAACUAUGUUCCCUCUGAUGUCAACCCCGCCGACCAUGCAACCAGAGCCAUACCUGCCAAUCAGCUUGCGGCUUCAUCUUGGUUAACUGGACCAGUUUUCCUUGUGGACAAGCGGCAGGGCCACUUGCAACAGGAAGCCUUCAACCUGGUUGACCCUGGAUCAGAUGUGGAAAUACGUCCAGAAGCAGUGACGUGUGCCACACGUUUGUCACAUCAGCUUGACAGUGAACGCUUCAAGCGGUUUUCGAGUUGGAAGUCGCUCUCCAGAGCCGUUGCCCGACUCUCUCACAUUGCCUAUUCCUUCACAAAAGCGGCAAAAGACGGCCCCUGCCAUGGAUGGCACAGCUGCAAGCUGCCCCUCAGUCCAGAGCAGCUAAAUCAGGCAAAGGUCAGAAUCAUUCUUGCUGUCCAAAGACAGGCCUAUUCUGAGGAAAUCAACUGGAUCCAGAAGGGAGAACCAGUGCCGAAACAGUGUGCCCUCAGUGACCUUUGCCCUUUCAUUGAUUCUGAAGGUCUUCUGCGUGUCGGAGGGCGAUUGAAGAAGGCGCAGCUCACACCGGAUGAAAGUCAGCCAAUCAUCAUCCCUGGCAAACACCAUGUUGCCACGCUGCUCAUCAGACAUUACCACGAGCACGUCUGCCACCAAGGACGGCACUUAACAGAAGGAGCAUUAAGGAGUGCUGGUUUUUGGGUUGUCGGAGGGAAGCGGUCUGUCAGCAGCUUGAUUUACAACUGUGUGACAUGUCGGAGACUGCGCGGCAAGCAGCAAGAGCAGAUGAUGGCGGAUCUUCCCGCUGACCGCUUGAGCACAGACCCCCCGUUCACCUUUGUAGGGCUGGAUGUGUUCGGGCCAUGGUGUGUCACCUCGAGGAGGACACGUGGGGGACUAGCGAACAGCAAGCGUUGGGCCAUCAUCUUCACGUGUAUGAGCACGCGUGCCAUACAUAUUGAGGUCAUCGAAUCGAUGGAUUCAUCCAGUUUUAUUAACGCCCUUCGGCGCUUCUUCGCAAUUAGGGGACCUGUGAAACAACUUCGGUCCGAUUGCGGAACUAAUUUCAUAGGAGCCUGCCGAGAACUUGAGAUUGACUCCAAGGGGUGUGAUAACAAGACGAUUUCCCAGUAUCUCUCUGACCAGGGUUGUGUGUGGCUGUUCAAUCCCCCUCACUCUUCGCAUAUGGGGGGCAGCUGGGAGCGGAUGAUCGGGGUCGCACGUCGGAUCCUCGAUGCUAUGUUCCUCAAGUCCGGGUCUGCGAAGCUCACACAUGAAGUCUUGACUACGUUUAUGGCAGAAGUCACUGCUAUAGUCAACUCCAGACCACUUACUUCUGUGUCUACAGAUCCUGACGAGCCUCACAUCCUAACCCCUACUAUGCUGCUGACGCAGAAGACUGGGAUGCCCCCAGUCCCUCCUGGCGACUUUGACACUGGUGACCUAUUCAAACGUCAGUGGCGACAGGUUCAAAGUUUAGCCAACACAUUCUGGGAGAGAUGGAGGAGGGAGUACCUCAGCGGUCUCCAAGGCAGGCCAAAAUGGAGAAUGGAGAGGCCUAAUCUGAUGGACGGAGAUGUUGUCCUGUUAAAGGAUAACUCAGUGAAGAGGCACGACUGGCCCACAGGACUAAUCACAAGGACCUUUCCAAGUAAUGACGGAAAGGUCAGGAAGGUUGAGGUGAAGAUCAUCAGAGACAGUGUGGCAAAACUGUUCUUACGGCCAGUGUCUGAAGUCAUACUCCUGAUACAAAAGGACUCAGUCAAGUCUUCUUGAGUGUGACAUCCUUGAGAUGCCAGGUGGGGAGUGUGAUGGCUUAUUAUUUUUUAUAUAUAUUGCGCCCUAGUGGUCGUAUUAUGUAUUUUAUUUUGUCAGUAUUAGAGACAGGAAGUCCCAUGUGGGUCACUUCCUCUUGGCUCAGUAUUUUGGUUAGAGCACAUGGUGGCGGCCAUUUUGUAAGCCACACCUUCAGAGGAGCACACGGCAGCAGCCAUCUCGCCAUUCACGCCUUCAAAGUUUGCAAAAGGCAUCGUCUGUAAGUUUUUUAUGUUUUCUAUAAUGUUUUUAGAUGUAUGCAAUUAUGUUUUGCAAAUGUUUGUUAUAUAUUAUUGUAUUUUCUGUUUCCAACAGUUUUACACUUUUCUUGAUUAAACAACGAAAGUCAACCCAACGGCCUGUUCUUUUAAGUUUGAUCAGGAGAGUGUUUAGCUCUCUGUACAGCUAAGUAGACGUUCAAGUGUACCACAUUUAGCCAAGACAGAACAGUUAGUUAGACCAAAAUAAAACAAAAAAUGAAAAAAAAAUAUUUGGGAUGUUCGGUCUUCCUGAAGGUAAUACCCGGGUAUUAGGUUAUGGGGCUAGGGUAAGGUUUUUGGCGUUAGGGUUAAAAUCACUGUCCAAAACCUUUGUAGGAACUCUUUUCCAACCUUUUGGAGUUAGUUAGACCAGAAAAAAAAUGAAAAAUGAAAAAAAAUAUAUUUGGGGUUUUCGGGCUUUCUGAAGGUAACACCCGGGUAUUAGGUUUUGGGGCUAGGGUAAGGUUUAAGUUUUUUGGCGUUAGGGUUAAAAUCACUGUCCAAAACCUUUGUAGGAACUCCUUUCCAACCUUUUGGAGUAAGUUAAACCAAAAAAAAAAUUGUAAAAUGAAAAAGAAAUAUUUGGGGUGUUCGGGCUUCCUGAAGGUAACACCCGGGUAUUAGGUUUUGGGGCUAGGGUAAGGUUUAAGUUUUUUGGCGUUAGGGUUAAAAUCACUGUCCAAAACCUUUGUAGGAACUCCUUUCCAACCUUUUGGAGUAAGUUAAACCAAAAAAAAAAUUGUAAAAUGAAAAAGAAAUAUUUGGGGUGUUCGGUCUUCCUGAAGGUAAUACCCGGGUAUUAGGUUAUGGGGCUAGGGUAAGGUUUAAGGUUUUUAGCGUUAGGGUUAAAAUCACUGUCCAAAACCUUUGUAGGAACUCUUUUCCAACCUUUUGGAGUUAGUUAGACCAAAAUAAAACAAAAAAUGAAAAAAAAAAUAUUUGGGGUGUUCGGUCUUCCUGAAGGUAAUACCUGGGUAUUAGGUUAUGGGGCUAGUAAAAGGUUUAGGGUUUUUGGCGUUAGGGUUAAAAUCACUGUCCAAAACCUUUGUAGGAACUCCUUUCCAACCUUUUGGAGUUAGUUAGACCUAAAAAAAACGAAAAAUGAAAAAAAAAUGUUUGGGGUGUUCGGUCUUCCUGAAGGUAAUACCCGGGUAUUAGGUUAUGGGGCUAGGGUAAGGUUUAAGGUUUUUGGCGUUAGGGUUAAAAUCACUGUCCAAAACCUUUGUAGGAACUCUUUUCCAACCUUUUGGAGUUAGUUAGACCAGAAAAAAAUGAAAAAUGAAAAAAAAAAUAUUUGGGGUUUUCGGGCUCUCUGAUGGUAAUACCCGGGUAUUAGGUUAUGGGGCUAGGGUAAGGUUUAAGGUUUUUGGCGUUAGGGUUAAAAUCACUGUCCAAAACCUUUGUAGGAACUCUUUUCCAACCUUUUGGAGUUAGUUAGACCAGAAAAAAAUGAAAAAUGAAAGAAAAAAUAUUUGGGGUUUUCGGGCUCUCUGAUGGUAAUACCCGGGUAUUAGGUUAUGGGGCUAGGGUAAGGUUUAAGGUUUUUGGCGUUAGGGUUAAAAUCACUGUCCAAAACCUUUGUAGGAACUCUUUUCCAACCUUUUGGAGUUAGUUAGAUCGAAAAGAAAUCAAAAACAAAAAAACAUAUUUGGGGUGUUCGGGCUUCCUGAAGGUAAUACCCAGGUAUCAGGGUAAUCAGGCUAGGGUCAGGUUUAAGGUUUUUGGCGUUAGGGUUAAAAUCACUGUCCAAAACCUUUGUAGGAACUCUUUUCCAACCUUUUGGAGUUAGUUAGACCAAAAUAAAACAAAAAAUGAAAAAGAAAUAUUUGGGGUGUUCGGGCUUCCUGAAGGUAAUACCCGGGUAUUAGGUUUUGGGGCUAGGGUAAGGUUUAAGGUUUUUGGCGUUAGGGUUAAAAUCACUGUCCAAAACCUUUGUAGGAACUCUUUUCCAACCUUUUGGAGUUAGUUAGACCUAAAAAAAACGAAAAAUGAAAAAAAAAUGUUUGGGGUGUUCGGUCUUCCUGAAGGUAAUACCCGGGUAUUAGGUUAUGGGGCUAGGGUAAGGUUUAAGGUUUUUGGCGUUAGGGUUAAAAUCACUGUCCAAAACCUUUGUAGGAACUCUUUUCCAACCUUUUGGAGUUAGUUAGACCAAAAUAAAACAAAAAAUGAAAAAAAAAUAUUUGGGGUGUUCGGUCUUCCUGAAGGUAAUACCCGGGUAUUAGGUUAUGGGGCUUUGGUAAGGUUUAAGGUUUUUGGCAUUAUGGUUAAAAUCACUGUCCAAAACAUUUAUUUACUUGCUUAUUCAGUUAUUUACUCAUUUAUUUAUUAUUUCUAUUACUAUUACUAUUAUUAUUAUUAUUAUUAUUAUAAUGUGUAUAUGCAUCUACAUGUGUAUGUAUAUAUAUAUAUAUAUAUAUAUAUAUAUAUAUAUAUAUAUGUAUAUGUGUGUGUAUGUAUGUAUAUAUAUAUAUAUAUAUAUAUAUAUAUAUAUAUAUAUUUUAUUUAUUAUUAUUAUUAUUUUUUUUUUAUUGUUGUUUCCAUUUGUAUUUGUUAACCCUUUUGUGUCUGUGUAUAUGUGUAUGCAUGGGCAUACAUGUAUAUUUAGAUGUUAAUAUAUAUACAUAUAUAUUAAGUUGUUAUGGGUGUUACUUUAAUGAUGUCUCCUGUUCUGUUAUAACUUCCAUUACUAUCUAUAGUCUUUUUUUUUUAACCCAUUAUUUUAAAUUACUUGCUUAUUAGGUGUUUGUAUGUAUUCAGUUAUUUUUAUAUAUUUAUUUAUGUAUUUAUUUAUUUUUAUGUACAUAUCAUUUAUAUUUUGUGAAUUGAUAUAAUUAUAAUUACAUAUAGUAUAUAUAUUGUAUAUUUUCUAUUACUAUAGUUAUUAUUCUAUUUUAUAGUAUGUGUAUGUAUAUUUAUAUUUAUUGUUAUAUACUUAUUAAUAUUUUUUUAUUUAUUAUUUUGUCUUAUUUUAUUCAUAUAUUUUCUUGUAUCUCAACGAUGAUUUGAGUAGAGAUUGUGAUUGCUUUAUGUUUAGCUACAUUGAUGCAUCCGAUCCAACAAGGCAAGUGGUACAAGGAGUAGCACAGUGGCGUACUUUGCAAGCCAGAGAGGAAUGAGUGCAGUUGGUGGUGACUUGGGGAGGGAGGGAGGGAUGUUUUGUGUUUUUGUGUUUGUGUUUGUACUGUUUAAAAGAAAAAUGGAAAUAAAAAAUGUUAAUCAUAAAAAAAAAUCACUGUCCAAAACCUUUGUAGGAACUCUUUUCCAACCUUUUGGAGUUAGUUAGACCUAAAAAAAACGAAAAAUGAAAAAAAAAUGUUUGGGGUGUUCGGGCUUCCUGAAGGUAAUACCCGGGUAUUAGGUUAUGGGGCUAGGGUAAGGUUUAAGGUUUUUGGCGUUAGGGUUAAAAUCACUGUCCAAAACCUUUGUAGGAACUCUUUUCCAACCUUUUGGAGUUAGUUAGACCAAAAAAAAUGAAAAAUGAAAAAAAAAUAUUUGGGGUUUUCGGGCUUCCUGAAGGUAAUACCCGGGUAUUAGGUUAUGGGGCUAGGGUAAGGUUUAAGGUUUUUGGCGUUAGGGUUAAAAUCACUGUCCAAAACCUUUGUAGGAACUCUUUUCCAACCUUUUGGAGUUAGUUAGACCAAAAUAAAACAAAAAAUGAAAAAAAAAUAUUUGGGGUGUUCGGGCUUCCUGAAGGUAAUACCCGGGUAUUAGGUUAUGGGGCUAGGGUAAGGUUUUUGGCGUUAGGGUUAAAAUCACUGUCCAAAACCUUUGUAGGAACUCUUUUCCAACCUUUUGGAGUUAGUUAGACCAAAAAAAAAUGAAAAAUGAAAAAAAAUAUAUUUGGGGUGUUCGGGCUUCCUGAAGGUAAUACCCGGGUAUUAGGUUAUGGGGCUAGGGUAAGGUUUAAGGUUUUUGGCGUUAGGGUUAAAAUCACUGUCCAAAACCUUUGUAGGAACUCCUUUCCAACCUUUUGGAGUAAGUUAAACCAAAAAAAAAAUUUUAAAAUGAAAAAGAAAUAUUUGGGGUGUUUGGGCUUCCUGAAGGUAAUACCCGGGUAUAAGGUUAUGGGGCUAGGGUAAGAUUUAAGGUUUUUGGCGUUAGGGUUAAAAUCACUGUCCAAAACCUUUGUAGGAACUCUUUUCCAACCUUUUGGAGUUAGUUAGACCUAAAAAAAAGAAAAAUGAAAAAAAAAUGUUUGGGGUGUUCGGGCUUCCUGAAGGUAAUACCCGGGUAUUAGGUUAUGGGGCUAGGGUAAGGUUUAAGGUUUUUGGCGUUAGGGUUAAAAUCACUGUCCAAAACCUUUGUAGGAACUCUUUUCCAACCUUUUGGAGUUAGUUAAACCAAAAAAAAAAUUGUAAAAUGAAAAAGAAAUAUUUGGGGUGUUCGGGCUUCCUGAAGGUAAUACCCGGGUAUUAGGUUAUGGGGCUAGGGUAAGGUUUAAGGUUUUUGGCGUUAGGGUUAAAAUCACUGUCCAAAACCUUUGUAGGAACUGUUUCCAACCUUUGGAGUUAGUUAGACCAAAAAAAAUUGUAAAAUGAAAAAGAAAUAUUUGGGGUGUUUGGGCUUCCUGAAGGUAAUACCCAGGUAUUAGGUUAUGGGGCUAGGGAAAGGUUUAAGGUUUUUGGCGUUAGGGUUAAAAUCACUGUCCAAAACCUUUGUAGGAACUCUUUUCCAACCUUUUGGAGUUAGUUAGACCAGAAAAAAAAUGAAAAAUGAAAAAAAAUAUAUUUGGGGUUUUCGGGCUUCCUGAAGGUAAUACCCGGGUAUUAGGUUAUGGGGCUAGGGUAAGGUUUAAGGUUUUUGGCGUUAGGGUUAAAAUCACUGUCCAAAACCUUUGUAGGAACUCCUUUCCAACCUUUUGGAGUAAGUUAAACGAAAAAAAAUUUUUAAAAUGAAAAAGAAAUAUUUGGGGUGUUCGGGCUUCCUGAAGGUAAUACCCAGGUAUUAGGUUAUGGGGCUUUGGUAAGGUUUAAGGUUUUUGGCAUUAGGGUUAAAAUCACUGUCCAAAACCUUUGUAGGAACUCUUUUCCAACCUUUUGGAGUUAGUUAGACCUAAAAAAAACGAAAAAUGUAAAAAAAAUGUUUGGGGUGUUCGGGCUUCCUGAAGGUAAUACCCGGGUAUUAGGUUAUGGGGCUAGGGUAAGGUUUAAGGUUUUUGGCGUUAGGGUCAAAAUCACUGUCCAAAACCUUUGUAGGAACUCUUUUCCAAUGUUUUGGAGUUAGUAAGACCCGAAAGAAAUGAAAAAUGAAAAAAAAAAUAUUUGGGGUUUUCGGGCUUUCUGAAGGUUAUACCCGGGUAUUAGGUAAUGGGGCUAGGGUAAGGUUUUUGGCGUUAGGGUUAAAAUCACUGUCCAAAACCUUUGUAGGAACUCUUUUCCAAUGUUUUGGAGUUAGUUAGACCCGAAAGAAAUGAAAAAUGAAAAAAAAAUAUUUGGGGUUUUCGGGCUUUCUGAAGGUAAUACCCAGGUAUUAGGUUAUGGGGCUUUGGUAAGGUUUAAGGUUUUUGGCAUUAUGGUUAAAAUCACUGUCCAAAACCUUUGUAGGAACUCUUUUCCAACCUUUUGGAGUUAGUUAGACCUAAAAAAAACGAAAAAUGAAAAAAAAAUGUUUGGGGUGUUCGGGCUUCCUGAAGGUAAUACCCGGGUAUUAGGUUAUGGGGCUAGGGGAAGGUUUAAGGUUUUUGGCGUUAGGGUUAAAAUCCCUGUCCAAAACCUUUGUAGGAACUCUUUUCCAACCUUUUAGAGUUAGUUAGACCUAAAAAAAACGAAAAAUGAAAAAAAAAUGUUUGGGGUGUUCGGGCUUCCUGAAGGUAAUACCCGGGUAUUAGGUUAUGGGGCUAGGGUAAGGUUUUUGGCGUUAGGGUUAAAAUCACUGUCCAAAACCUUUGUAGGAACUCCUUUCCAACCUUUUGGAGUUAGUUAAACCAAAAAAAAAAAGAAAAAGGAACAAGAAAUAUUUGGGGUGUUCGGUCUUCCUGAAGGUAAUACCCGGGUAUUAGGUUAUGGGGCUAGGGUAAGGUUUAAGGUUUUUGGCGUUAGGGUUAAAAUCACUGUCCAAAACCUUUGUAGGAACUCUUUUCCAACCUUUUGGAGUUAGUUAGACCGAAAAGAAAUCAAAAAUAAAAAAACAUAUUUGGGGUGUUCGGGCUUCCUGAAUGUAAUACCCAGGUAUCAGGGUAAUCAGACUAGGGUCAGGUUUAAGGUUUUUGGCGUAAGGGUUAAAAUCACUGUCCAAAACCUUUGUAGGAACUCUUUUCCAACCUUUUGGAGUUAGUUACACCAAAAAUGAACAAAAAAUGAAAAAAAAUAUUUGGGGUGUUCGGUCUUCCUGAAGAUAUUAGAUUAUGGGGCUAUGGAAAGGUUUAAUGUUUUUGGCGUUAGGGUUAAAAUCACUGUCCAAAACCUUUUUAGGAACAUGUUUCAGACCUUAUGGAGUUAGUUAGACCUAAAAAAAAUUGUAAAAUGAAAAAGAAAUAUUUGGGGUGUUUGGGCUUCCUGAAGGCAAUACCCAGGUAUUAGGUUAUGGGGCUAGGGUAAGGUUUAAGGUUUUUGGCGUGAGGGUUAAAAUCACUGUCCAAAACCUUUGUAGGAACUCUUUUCCAACCUUUUGGAGUUAGUUAGACCCAAAAAAAAUGAAAAAUGAAAAAUAAAAUAUUUGGGGUUUUGGGCUUCCUGAAGGUAAUACCCGGGUAUUAGGUUUUGGGGCUAGGGUAAGGUUUAAGGUUUUUGGCGUUAGGGUUAAAAUCACUGUCCAAAACCUUUGUAGGAACUCUUUUCCAACCUUUUGGAGUUAGUUAGACCAAAAAAGAAAAGGAAAGGAAAAAGAAAUAUUUGGGGUGUUCGGGCUUCCUGAAGGCAAUACCCAGGUAAUAGGUUAUGGGGCUAGGGUCGGUUUAAGGUUUUUGGCGUGAGGGUUAAAAUCCCUGUCCAAAACCUUUGUCGGAACUCUUUUCCAACCUUUUGGAGUUAGUUAGACCAAAAAAAAAAAAAAAAAAAAAAAUAUAUUUGGGGUUUUUCGGGCUUCCUGAAGGUAAUACCCGGGUAUUAGGUUAUGGGGCUAGGGUAAGGUUUAAGGUUUUUGGCGUUAGGGUUAAAAUCACUGUCCAAAACCUUUGUAGGAACUCUUUUCCAACCUUUUGGAGUUAGUUAAACCAAAAAAAAAAUUGUAAAAUGCAAAAGAAAUAUUUGGGGUGUUCGGGCUUCCUGAAGGUAAUACCCAGGUAUUAGGUUAUGGGGCUUUGGUAAGGUUUAAGGUUUUUGGCAUUAUGGUUAAAAUCACUGUCCAAAACCUUUGUAGGAACUCUUUUCCAACCUUUUGGAGUUAGUUAGACCAAAAAAAAAAAAUGAAAAAUGAAAAAAAAAUAUUUGGGGUGUUCGGGCUUCCUGAAGGUAAUACCCGGGUAUUAGGUUAUGGGGCUAGGGUAAGGUUUUUGGCGUUAGGGUUAAAAUCACUGUCCAAAACCUUUGUAGGAACUCUUUUCCAACCUUUUGGAGUUAGUUACACCAAAAAAAAAAUUUGUAAAAUGAAAAAGAAAUAUUUGGGGUGUUCGGGCUUCCUGAAGGUAAUACCCGGGUAUUAGGUUAUGGGGCUAGUGAAAGGUUUAGGGUUUUUGGCGUGAGGGUUAAAAUCACUGUCCAAAACCUUUGUAGGAACUCUUUUCCAACCUUUUGGAGUUAGUUAGACCAGAAAAAAAUGAAAAAUGAAAAAAAAAAUAUUUGGGGUUUUCGUUCUUUCUGAAGGUAACACCCGGGUAUUAGGUUUUGGGGCUAGGGUAAGGUUUAAGGUUUUUGGCGUUAGGGUUAAAAUCACUGUCCAAAACCUUUGUAGGAACUCCUUUCCAACCUUUUGGAGUUAGUUAAACCAAAAAAAAUUGAAAUAUGAAAAAGAAAUAUUAAGGGUGUUCGGGCUUCCUGAAGGUAAUACCCGGGUAUUAGGUUAUGGGGCUAGGGUAAGGUUUAAGGUUUUUGGCGUUAGGGUUAAAAUCACUGUCCAAAACCUUUGUAGGAACUCUUUUCCAACCUUUUGGAGUUAGUUAGACCAGAAAAAAAUGAAAAAUGAAAAAAAUAUAUUUUUGGGGUUUUCGGGCUCUCUGAAGGUAAUACCCGGGUAUUAGGUAAUGGGGCUAGGGUAAGGUUUAAGGUUUUUGGCGUUAGGGUUAAAAUCACUGUCCAAAACCUUUGUAGGAACUCUUUUCCAACCUUUUGGAGUUAGUUAGACCUAAAAAAAACGAAAAAUGAAAAAGAAAUGUUUGGGGUGUUCGGGCUUCCUGAAGGUAAUACCCGGGUAUUAGGUUAUGGGGCUAGGGUAAGGUUUAAGGUUUUUGGCGUUAGGGUUAAAAUCACUGUCCAAAACCUUUGUAGGAACUCUUUUCCAACCUUUUGGAGUUAGUUAGACCCAAAAAAAAUUAAAAAUGAAAAAAAAUAUUUGGGGUGUUCGGGCUUCCUGAAGGUAAUACCCGGGUAUUAGGUUAUGGGGCUAGGGUAAGGUUUAAGGUUUUUGGCGUUAGGGUUAAAAUCACUGUCCAAAACCUUUGUAGGAACUCUUUUCCAACCUUUUGGAGUUAGAUACACCAAAAAUGAACAAAAAAUGAAAAAAAAAUAUUUGGGGUGUUCGGUCUUCCUGAAGGUAAUACCCAGGUAUUAGGUUAUGGGGCUAGGGUAAGGUUUAAGGUUUUUGGCGUUAGGGUUAAAAUCACUGUCCAAAACCUUUGUAGGAACUCUUUUCCAACCUUUUGGAGUUAGUUAGACCAAAAAAAAACAAAAAAUGAAAAAAAAAUAUUUGGGGUGUUCGGGCUUCCUGAAGGUAAUACCCGGGUAUUAGGUUAUGGGGCUAGGGUAAGGUUUUUGGCGUUAGGGUUAAAAUCACUGUCCAAAACCUUUGUAGGAACUCUUUUCCAACCUUUUGGAGUUAGUUACACCAAAAAUGAACAAAAAAUGAAAAAAAAUAUUUGGGGUGUUCGGUCUUCCUGAAGAUAUUAGAUUAUGGGGCUAUGGAAAGGUUUAAUGUUUUUGGCGUUAGGGUUAAAAUCACUGUCCAAAACCUUUGUAGGAACUCCUUUCCAACCUUUUGGAGUUAGUUAAACCAAAAAAAAUUGAAAUAUGAAAAAGAAAUAUUAAGGGUGUUCGGGCUUCCUGAAGGUAAUACCCAGGUAUUAGGUUAUGGGGCUUUGGUAAGGUUUAAGGUUUUUGGCAUUAUGGUUAAAAUCACUGUCCAAAACCUUUGUAGGAACUCUUUUCCAACCUUUUGGAGUUAGUUAGACCAAAAUAAAACAAAAAAUGAAAAGAAAAUAUUUGGGGUGUUCGGUCUUCCUGAAUGUAAUACCCAGGUAUCAGGGUAAUCAGGCUAGGGUCAGGUUUAAGGUUUUUGGCGUAAGGGUUAAAAUCACUGUCCAAAACCUUUGUAGGAACUCUUUUCCAACCUUUUGGAGUUAGUUAGACCAAAAAAAAACGAAAAAUGAAAAAAAAAUGUUUGGGGUGUUCGGGCUUCCUGAAGGUAAUACCCGGGUAUUAGGUUAUGGGGCUAGGGUAAGGUUUAAGGUUUUUGGCGUUAGGGUAAAAAUCACUGUCCAAAACCUUUGUAGGAACUCCUUUCCAACCUUUUGGAGUUAGUUAAACCAAAAAAAAUUGAAAUAUGAAAAAGAAAUAUUAAGGGUGUUCGGGCUUCCUGAAGGUAAUACCCAGGUAUUAGGUUAUGGGGCUUUGGUAAGGUUUAAGGUUUUUGGCAUUAUGGUUAAAAACACUGUCCAAAACCUUUGUAGGAACUCUUUUCCAACCUUUUGGAGUUAGUUAGACCAGAAAAAAAUGAAAAAUGAAAAAAAAUAUAUUUGGGGUGUUCGGGCUUCCUGAAGGUAAUACCCGGGUAUUAGGUUAUGGGGCUAGGGUAAGGUUUAAGGUUUUUGGCGUUAGGGUUAAAAUCACUGUCCAAAACCUUUGUAGGAACUCUUUUCCAACCUUUUGGAGUUAGUUAGACCAAAAAAAAUGAAAAAUGAAAAAAAAAUAUUUGGGGUGUUCGGGCUUCCUGAAGGUAAUACCCGGGUAUUAGGUUAUGGGGCUAGGGUAAGGUUUAAGGUUUUUGGCGUUAGGGUUAAAAUCACUGUCCAAAACCUUUGUAGGAACUCUUUUCCAACCUUUUGGAGUUAGUUAGACCCAAAAAAAAUUAAAAAUGAAAAAUAAAAUAUUUGGGGUUUUGGGCUUCCUGAAGGUAAUACCCGGGUAUUAGGUUUUGGGGCUAGGGUAAGGUUUAAGGUUUUUGGCGUUAGGGUUAAAAUCACUGUCCAAAACCUUUGUAGGAACUCUUUUCCAACGUUUUGGAGUUAGUUAGACCAAAAUAAAACAAAAAAUGAAAAGAAAAUAUUUGGGGUGUUCGGUCUUCCUGAAUGUAAUACCCAGGUAUCAGGGUAAUCAGGCUAGGGUCAGGUUUAAGGUUUUUGGCGUAAGGGUUAAAAUCACUGUCCAAAACCUUUGUAGGAACUCUUUUCCAACGUUUUGGAGUUAGUUAGACCAAAAUAAAACAAAAAAUGAAAAAAAAAUGUUUGGGGUGUUCGGGCUUCCUGAAGGUAAUACCCGGGUAUUAGGUUUUGGGGCUAGGGUAAGGUUUUUGGCGUUAGGGUUAAAAUCACUGUCCAAAACCUUUGUAGGAACUCUUUUCCAACCUUUUGGAGUUAGUUACACCAAAAAUGAACAAAAAAUGAAAAAAAAUAUUUGGGGUGUUCGGUCUUCCUGAAGAUAUUAGAUUAUGGGGCUAUGGAAAGGUUUAAUGUUUUUGGCGUUAGGGUUAAAAUCACUGUCCAAAACCUUUGUAGGAACUCUUUUCCAACCUUUUGGAGUUAGUUAGACCAAAAAAAAAAUUGUAAAAUGAAAAAGAAAUAUUUGGGGUGUUUGGGCUUCCUGAAGGUAAUACCCGGGUAUUAGGUUAUGGGGCUAGGGUAAGGUUUAAGGUUUUUGGCGUUAGGGUUAAAAUCACUGUCCAAAACCUUUGUAGGAACUCUUUUCCAACCUUUUUAAGUUAGUUAGACCCAAAAAAAAUGAAAAAUGAAAAAUAAAAUAUUUGGGGUUUUGGGCUUCCUGAAGGUAAUACCCGGGUAUUAGGUUUUGGGGCUAGGGUAAGGUUUAAGGUUUUUGGCGUUAGGGUUAAAAUCACUGUCCAAAACCUUUGUAGGAACUUUUUUCCAACCUUUUUGGAGUUAGUUAGACCAAAAAAAAAAAAGGAAAGGAAAAAGAAAUAUUUGGGGUGUUCGGGCUUCCUGAAGGUAAUACCCAGGUAUUAGGUUAUGGGGCUAGGGUAAGGUUUAAAUUUUUUGGCGUUAGGGUUAAAAUCACUGUCCAAAACCUUUGUAGGAACUCUUUUCCAACCUUUUGGAGUUAGUUAGACCAAAAUAAAAUGAAAAAUGAAAAAAAAAAUAUUUGGGGUUUUUCGGGCUUUCUGAAGGUAAUACCCGGGUAUUAGGUUAUGGGGCUAGGGUAAGGUUUAAGGUUUUUGGCGUUAGGGUUAAAAUCACUGUCCAAAACCUUUGUAGGAACUCUUUUCCAACCUUUUGGAGUUAGUUAAACCAAAAAAAAAAUUGUAAAAUGCAAAAGAAAUAUUUGGGGUGUUCGGGCUUCCUGAAGGUAAUACCCAGGUAUUAGGUUAUGGGGCUUUGGUAAGGUUUAAGGUUUUUGGCAUUAUGGUUAAAAUCACUGUCCAAAACCUUUGUAGGAACUCUUUUCCAACCUUUUGGAGUUAGUUAGACCUAAAAAAAACGAAAAAUGAAAAAAAAAUGUUUGGGGUGUUCGGUCUUUCUGAAGGUAAUACCCGGGUAUUAGGUUAUGGGGCUAGGGUAAGGUUUUUGGCGUUAGGGUUAAAAUCACUGUCCAAAACCUUUGUAGGAACUCUUUUCCAACCUUUUGGAGUUAGUUACACCAAAAAAAAAAUUUGUAAAAUGAAAAAGAAAUAUUUGGGGUGUUCGGGCUUCCUGAAGGUAAUACCCGGGUAUUAGGUUAUGGGGCUAGUGAAAGGUUUAAGGUUUUUGGCGUUAGGGUUAAAAUCACUGUCCAAAACCUUUGUAGGAACUCUUUUCCAACCUUUUGGAGUUAGUUAGACCAGAAAAAAAUGAAAAAUGAAAAAAAAAAUAUUUGGGGUUUUCGUUCUUUCUGAAGGUAACACCCGGGUAUUAGGUUUUGGGGCUAGGGUAAGGUUUAAGGUUUUUGGCGUUAGGGUUAAAAUCACUGUCCAAAACCUUUGUAGGAACUCCUUUCCAACCUUUUGGAGUUAGUUAAACCAAAAAAAAUUGAAAUAUGAAAAAGAAAUAUUAAGGGUGUUCGGGCUUCCUGAAGGUAAUACCCAGGUAUUAGGUUAUGGGGCUUUGGUAAGGUUUAAGGUUUUUGGCAUUAUGGUUAAAAUCACUGUCCAAAACCUUUGUAGGAACUCUUUUCCAACCUUUUGGAGUUAGUUAGACCUAAAAAAAAACGAAAAAUGA